GUACUCCCCCUUUGGCAGCACAUAUUGUUACAAUGCAGAGACGAUUAGCAUGGCCUCUGCACAAGGAGAAUUUUCUAUAAUAACCUAAUUUAG
rnacentral:snRNA from 1 species